GGCCGGGUAGCUCAGUUGGUAGAGCAGGGGAUUGAAAAUCCCCGUGUCGGGGGUUCGACUCCCUCCCCGGCCACCA
rnacentral:tRNA from 1 species